rnacentral:rRNA from 1 species
CUACGUGCCAGCAGCCGCGGUAAUACGGAAGAUCCGAGCGUUAUCCGGAUUUAUUGGGUUUAAAGGGAGCGUAGGCGGGAAUCCAAGUCAGUUGUGAAACCCUGCGGCUCAACCGUAGUCGUGCAGUUGAAACUGGAUUUCUUGAGUGCGCACAGGGCAGACGGAAUUUGUGGUGUAGCGGUGAAAUGCUUAGAUAUCACGAAGAACUCCGAUCGCGAAGGCAGUCUGCCGGGGCGCUACUGACGCUGAGGCUCGAAAGUGCGGGUAUCAAACAGGAUUAGAUACCCUGGUAGUCCGCACUGUAAACGAUGGAUACCCGUGGUCGGUUUUUUUAUUCGGUCACCAAGCGAAAGCGUUAAGUAUCCCACCUGGGGAGUACGCCGGCAACGGUGAAACUCAAAGGAAUUGACGGGGGCCCGCMCAAGCGGAGGAACAUGUGGUUUAAUUCGAUGAUACGCGAGGAMCCUUACCCGGGCUUGAAUUGCAGAGGAAGGA